rnacentral:lncRNA from 1 species
AGAUUGACAUUCUCAAAGCAGAUCUGGAAAGCGCAGAAUGGAAAGUUUUGGAAAAUCUUAUUCUGGAAGAUGUCCUCGAACAAAUUGGACAGCUCAUCUUCGAGAUCCAUCUCCACUGGCCCGGGUUUGAGGUCAGUGGCAGCGACAGCAGUGUUGUGAGGUUCUGGUACAGCCUCCUCAAAGAGUUAGAACUACAGGAUUUCAGGCUUUUUCACAGUUACAAAGAUUUAUCUAAACCUCAGAUAUUCCUGAGGAAAAAUAUUUUCAAUGCUAGUAGCUGUUAUACUCUGAGUUGGGUGAAUACAAGAUGGAAAUAGGUUACAGAAUCUCACCAAGAAUUCAAGGAAAUGUUUGCAGCAUGGAACAUGUCCAUGAUUCUAGUUAUUAGUUUACUUGUCCAGUCUCCCAUUAGUUUGAGCCCUGCUGGAGGCAGGGAUUGUGUUAUUGGCAUUGUAGUAGGUAUAGCCUGGUGCCCAACACAUGCUAGGGGCAUAGUUAAAACUUAUUGAGGGGUCGGACAAAGGAGCACCAUCGAAGUUAGCAUCCAUGGAGUUCCCAUCAUGGAGCAAAGGUAAUGAACCCACCUAGGAUCCAUGAGAUGUGGGUUUGAUCCCGGGUCUUAAUCAUUGGGUUAAGGAUCCAGUGUUGCUCUGAGCUUUGGUGUAGGUUGCAGACGUGGCUCAGAUCCCAUGUUGCUGUGGCUCUGGCGUAGGCCGGCGGCUACAGCUCCGGUUAGACCUCUAGCCUGGGAACCUCCAUAUGCCACGGGAAGUGGCCCUAGAAAAGGCAAAAAGGAAAAAUAAUAAUAAUAAAAUAGGGCCUUUCACUUGUUGUUAACUCACCUCUUUCAAGAUUUUUCUUAUUAACCAUGGUAAUGAUGCUUUUUACAACCUUGUAGAUUUCAGUUCCCCCUCAGCCUCUGGUGAGGCCAUGCUGUUGCUUUAUAAGAACCACCUGGUUUCUGGAAACUCAGACACACCAAAUUCUGUCACAGAGUUUAAAGACUAGACUAUCAAAAUCUUCAACUCAGGAUUCUUUUCGUACUCAGCCUUAAAUCCCUUUGUUCCUGUGAAACCAAGCACAAAGCAGAAUUGGGAUGUCUUCAAACCUGAUUUCUCUGUCACAGACUUGCCUAUGCUGCCAUGCUGUCAGAUCUUUUUUUUUUUUUUUAAAUACAUUAUCUCCAAUAUUGAUUUUUUUUCUUCUCUGCCAGUUGGCAUUCAUUGUAAGCCUGAGGCCUGAGGGCUGGAGUCUCUCUUUCCGGGAUGGUUACAGUGUAUUUCAAUAGUACCAAUCAUUUUGCAUUUUUUUGGACAAUUAAACAGAGAAUGCAUAUUCUCAAUAGUUCAAAUGAUCUCUAUCGUUUCUGUUUACAGGUUUAGACAUUGUUCCAGACAAAUGAUUUUCAAAAAUCCUAUUUCAAAUAAUUUAAUUAAGCAGUAGCAAAAUGAACCAAAUUAUUACCUUAUUACAUGUUAAGUGUAUCUUCUGGCAUUUUUUUUUAACAUCCUGAGAGAGUGGAAAAAAAUACAUACACACUGUUCAUUUAAGAAAUUUGGGGAGAGCGUAGAGUACUGAUUACUACUAGCCUUGAUUCCUUAUCCCCAUGUUUUGCCUCCUUUACCCCAGACAUUCUCUGGGUUGGCUUUUUGUUUCUUACAUUGGUUUGAAAAUACCAUUCCUCAGAUGAGAAACCAAAAUAUAGUUGAAUUAGAUGAUCUCACUAACUUGGGUUAAAAGGAAGUAAGACUUUGUGAAUCAGAAGUGAUUUUUUUAAAAAAAUAUUAAUGAGGUUUUUAUAUUAAAACUUAUGGGGAGUUCUCAUUAUGGUUCAGUAGUAGUGAACCCAGAUAGUAUCCAUGAGGAUGUGGGUUCAAUCACUGGCCUUGCUCAGUGGGUUAAGGAUCCAGCAUUGCCAUGAGCUUUGCUGUAGGUCACAGAUACAUCUCAGUUUUGGCAUUGCUGUGGCUGUGGUGUAGGCCAGCAGCUGCAGCUCAGGUUGGACCCCUAGCCUGGGAACUUCCAUGUGCCCAGGUGCAACCCUAGAAAAGGAAAAAACAAAAGCAAAAAUUUAUGGUACACUAAUAAAAGUCAUUGAGGUUAGAGGACCAGCUUGAAUAAGUUUGAUUUGAAAUGGCAGUUUAGUUGUUUUCAGUGUUCUUAUGGACAAAAAGUCCAUAAAGCUCUAAAGUGGUUUGUACUGUUGGUUUGCAUAUUAUAGCCUCCAGAACAAAGUUAACUUUAGUCCUGUUCCUGUUUGCCUUAUAGCAUAAAUUAUUUUUCAUUUUUAAUAAAAAUUUUAUACACUAAAGGAUAUACAGUAGUAUACAAUAUCCUUUUAGUACAUUAAACCUUUUCAUCCUCCUCAUAAGCCAAAUUAUGAAGUACACUAAUCCCAAGUGUCUAGUAUGAUCAGGUUUUAGGUAUGUUUACACUCAUACCAAGAUUUUUAACUCAUGGGAUUGAAGAUUAAUGGAAUUAUUGCAAAGCCCGUUUGUACAGGGCAAGUUACCAUUUAUUUCAGAUUGGUAAGGCAGAACAUCAACUUCAUUACACUACACACACACACACACACACACACACACACACGUACAUACAUAUAUAUCUGAAGGAAGAGGAUGUACUGUUAGGAAAAAAAUAAAGACAAACUCAAAAUAAAUCACAAACACACCCACCCACACCCACCUACUAAGCAGCCUGUUCAAUAGUUAUUUGUACUCAUUUUAUGCUUUUUUAUAAGACUGUCCUUCAUUCCCUUCAUGGAUAGUUUGAAAUUUGUGGUGAAUAUUCUGACUGUUGCUAUGGUUUCCCUGCCUCUAGAAUUAUUAUGCUUAUUGUGUGGGCCAGGGUUUCUUAACCUCAACACUAUUUUCAUCUGGGGCUGGAUAACUCUUUGUUGGGGGAGGGAGGGCCAGUCUGUGCAUUUUAGGAUAUUUAGCAGCAUGCCUGGCCCUCCCCACUAGAUGCCAGGAGCACCUUCCCUUCUCCCCCUUAGUUAUAACAACCAGCUAUGUCUCUAAACAGUGCCACAUAUCCCCUAAGGGGCAAAAAUCACUGUGGAGAACUACUGGUGGAGGCCGUGCAGAAGGAUCUAGACUAUCACAGCACUAUUGUUUGGGGGGAUCCUGCUUGUGCUGAGCAGGCAAGACAACAACCAUCACCACAAUAACCACCACAAAAGCAAUACAAACAACAAAAUGAAAACAAACAAAAUGGGGAGCUGCUAUUUAUUGAGAGCUUACUAUGUGCCCAAUACUGUGCACAGACUAUUCCUAAUUCUCCAAACAAUCCUAUAAGGAAGUGUAAUUUUUCCCAAUUAUAGGUAAAGAAACUCUGAGAGGUUAUAUAGCUUAUUCAGUUUAUUCCAGUGGUGGAGCAGGAAUCCACAUCUCAGCCUGUCAGAUCCCAAAGCUCAUGUGGUUUUCUUCUACAGUGCUGUUUCAAUAGCCUUUGACAAAUAUAAAGACGUAUUUUUGCUUCCCUAUUAGUGAAUGGUAAGAAAAGCCUACAAAUAUACUAAGACCAGACCUGCAAAUCUCUUAAGAGUUGGGAUCAUUUUUGUAGUAUGCAGGUUUAAUUUAAACAAUCUACUUAAUUAAAAUCUACUUAAUUAAAGUACCUGGAAGUGACUCUUGGCCCUGGCUGGUCCUAAUAAGUUGCACUUUUUCCUGGAUUUUAGAAAGGGCCCAGUCACUUGGAAGUGUACUGUGAAUUUCCUUUGUUUCAAACUCACCUUUGACCUGCAGAUAUAUGAACUCAGAUGUGAAUAUCUGUGACAUACGUUUCUUAAUUAACUCCUACCAGAGCAAUGCUCAUAAAUGAAUCUGAAAACACAAAUUUAAUGAUGUUCUUAUCAGGUGAUUAAAAAAAGUGUUCUUUUCUUAUCUGAAAGACACAUGAGGAUAUAAGAGAUUCAGAGGUCAACCUUUUAGCACAAAGUCUGUGUCACAAUUUGAGAUUACAGUCAAAGAAGAACAAUUUUCCCUUUCAGCCUUUUCUUAGAGUAUUGUAUUUGAUGCAGUUAUAAUAGGUUAUCAUAUAAAUAUUUGUAACUAUUUGAUACAUUCAAAUGAAGUGAGCCAGGAAGAAGGUAAGCUGACUUCUGUUAGAAUGGACUGAAGGCCCACUGGUAUUUUACAUCAUGGUAGAGAACAAAAGUAAAUUCAUGAAUUUACAGUGCUGAGUCCAAAUCAGUGACUCAUGAAAGCAGUUCUGCUUUGGCUGUAAGAUUUUAGUAUAUAGCAAAUACAAGUACAAGAUUUUUGCAUUUCCUAAGUAUUACAUGUUUACAUUUUGCAAAGCUUGGAUUAAUACCAGGGAGCCAGCCUCAUCAUCAUAUUUUUCCAGAUAAAAAAGGAAGGCCUCAUUUAAACAAAUUAUUCUACAAUGGUACCUACAAGCUGUAAUUAUAUAAUUCUCUUCUUUUGGAGAUAAAUUUGUUUGCCUUUCAAGCAAUAGCAUUUCUUUUUGUAUUAGCCAGUUGCUAGUUUUUUUGUGAAUUCAAUACAUUUAAUCUUAUGCUAAAAUGUCUUUUUUCUUACAUUUAAAGAGGUAGCUGAACUUUACUUAUAACAUGAAAUCAUAACCCUAAAGAUACAAUAUAUUCAUAAACUGCCUAAGUUUAUAAAUUAUUGAAAUUCUUUAAUUAUAUUUCUGUCCUUAAAAUAAAUCAAGCAGUCUUAAUGUUGUCAUAUUUUAUAUUUAUCACUAUGUGGAGAAAAGCUAGUUCUCAAUAAACAUUAAAACUAUUGCUUUG